UUGUGAGUAGCUUAAUGGUAGAGCACCUCGUUGUGGCCGAGGCAGGUGUGGGUUCGAAUCCCAUCUUACAAC
rnacentral:tRNA from 1 species